rnacentral:siRNA from 1 species
AGUUUACAGAAGUUCAAAUUUGC